UACGAAGGGUGCAAGCGUUAAUCGGAAUUACUGGGCGUAAAGCGCGCGUAGGUGGUUCAGCAAGUUGGAUGUGAAAGCCCCGGGCUCAACCUGGGAACUGCAUCCAAAACUACUGAGCUAGAGUACGGUAGAGGGUGGUGGAAUUUCCUGUGUAGCGGUGAAAUGCGUAGAUAUAGGAAGGAACACCAGUGGCGAAGGCGACCACCUGGACUGAUACUGACACUGA
rnacentral:rRNA from 1 species